rnacentral:piRNA from 1 species
UUUUUUAAGCUGGUAAUUAAGAUUUUU